rnacentral:rRNA from 1 species
UAGGGAAUCUUCGGCAAUGGGGGGAACCCUGACCGAGCAACGCCGCGUGAGUGAAGAAGGUUUUCGGAUCGUAAAGCUCUGUUGUUAAGGAAGAACGAGUGUGAGAAUGGAAAGUUCAUACUGUGACGGUACUUAACCAGAAAGGGACGGCUAACUACGUGCCAGCAGCCGCGGUAAUACGUAGGUCCCGAGCGUUGUCCGGAUUUAUUGGGCGUAAAGCGAGCGCAGGCGGUUAGAUAAGUCUGAAGUUAAAGGCAGUGGCUCAACCAUUGUAGGCUUUGGAAACUGUUUAACUUGAGUGCAGAAGGGGAGAGUGGAAUUCCAUGUGUAGCGGUGAAAUGCGUAGAUAUAUGGAGGAACACCGGUGGCGAAAGCGGCUCUCUGGUCUGUAACUGACGCUGAAGCUCGAAAGCGUGGGGAGCGAACAGG